AAGGUAAGAUCUCCAUAAAGAGAGCAACACACAGCAAGGCAGUGGAGAAGUCUGCUCCAAAAUCAAGAGGUGCCUAUUGAACAGCAGCUUCUGAGAAGCCCUGGAGAUCCAUUGACCUUAGUCUGGGUGCCAGUGUGUCAUCCGCAGCCCAAGGAAACUGCAGAAGUCUGGAGAACCUGUGCACUUGAAGUCCCAUGAGGAAGAAGGAUGGGACAGCCUUUUGGGGAUGGGGCUCCUGCUCUUCAGUCAGGGCCCUGCAGCUGCUGGGAAGCACUCAGCUGCUCUCCUCCUGCUUCAUCACAGCAACAGGAGCACAGCCCUGGUGUCCCAGCACACAUCUCCACUGCAGUGCUCAGUGAGGCAGUGGUAGGAGCUCAUCUUGCAGCAGGACAGCUCAGGGGAAUACAGUGUGUUGUGCUGCCAGCUCCAUAACGAAACCAUUUUUAAGGUGGUUGAGAAUUGUCCAAGUGAGGACCCUUCAUCAAGAGGGGUAAGCCAGUGCCACACCAAAGGUACUGGUAGCACUGUGGUGCUGAUGGUGUCAGCUGUUGUCAUGGUGUGUGUAGGUAGCUUCCUGCUCCUUCCAGGUCUCUGGGGAUGGAUGUCACACUCCAGACCAUCUGUCUACACCAUGCACCUAAAUUAGCUAGCUAUUUGACUAAGCUGGCCAAUGUGAGUUUUAAUUCUCAGAGCUGGAAAACUGAGAAAGGAAGAGGUGAAGAGGGAAGAAGUAGCAUGAAACUGGAGUCUGUAAUUUGCUGUCUUUUAGCUCUCCUUGUAUUGUAACUUAUAAGGAUAUAUAGACUGUUAUGGCUCAUCUGUAUCCCUCUAAUCAUUAAUGAGCUACCUUUCAUGUCUUAAAGUCAUAAAAGUAAAGUGUGUUUUCUACUG
rnacentral:lncRNA from 7 species